rnacentral:rRNA from 1 species
UCAGUCGACUCCUACGGGGAGGCAGCAGUGAGGAAUAUGGUCAAUGGGCGCAAGCCUGAACCAGCCAUGCCGCGUGCAGAGACUGCCCUAUGGGUUGUAAACUGCUUUAUACAGGAAGAAACACUACCCUCGUGAGGGAGCUUGACGGUACUGUAAGAAUAAGGAUCGGCUAACUCCGUGCCAGCAGCCGCGGUAAUACGGAGGAUCCAAGCGUUAUCCGGAAUCAUUGGGUUUAAAGGGUCCGUAGGUGGAUUAGUAAGUCAGAGGUGAAAUCCUGCAGCUCAACUGUAGAACUGCCUUUGAUACUGCUAGUCUUGAGUCAUUAUGAAGUGGUUAGAAUGUGUAGUGUAGCGGUGAAAUGCAUAGAUAUUACACAGAAUACCGAUUGCGAAGGCAGAUCACUAAUAAUGUACUGACACUGAUGGACGAAAGCGUGGGGAGCGAACAGGAUUAGAUACCCCUGGUAG